rnacentral:rRNA from 1 species
AUUGAACGCUGGCGGCAGGCCUAACACAUGCAAGUCGAACGGAGCGGCUGACGGGUGAGUAAUACCUAGGUAUCUGCCUGGUCGUGUGGGAUAAGGUUCGGAAACGGACGCUAAUACCACAUACUAUCAGAUGAACCUAGGUCGGAUUCGCUAGUGGGUGGGGUAAUGGCUGACCAAGGCUACGAUCCGUAACUGGUCUGAGAGGAUGAUCAGUCACACUGGAACUGAGACACGGUCCAGACUCCUACGGGAGGAAGCAGUGGGGAAUAUUGGACAAUGGGCGAAAGCCUGAUCCAGCCAUGCCGUGUGUGUGAAGAAGGUUUUCGGAUUGUAAAGCACUUUAAGUGGGGAGGCGUUACCGACAGAAUAAGCACCGGCUAACUCUGUGCCAGCAGCCGCGGUAAUUC